rnacentral:rRNA from 1 species
CGUCCAGCCCGCUCAGAAACUCAAAUGAAUUGACGGGGGCCCGGCACAAGCGGAGGAGCAUGUGGUUUAAUUCGAUGAUACGCGAGGAACCUUACCUGGGCUCGAACGUAAGAUGACUGUAGGUGAAAGCUUACAUCUCUUCGGAGCAUUUUACGAGGUGCUGCAUGGUUGUCGUCAGCUCGUGCCGUGAGGUGUCGGGUUAAGUCCCAUAACGAGCGCAACCCCUACCUUUAGUUGCCAUCAGGUUAAGCUGGGGACUCUAAAGGAACUGCCUACGCAAGUAGUGAGGAAGGCGGGGAUGACGUCAAAUCAGCACGGCCCUUACGUCCAGGGCUACACACGUGCUACAAUGGCCGAUACAGAGGGCAGCUACCUGGUGACAGGAUGCAAAUCUCCAAAGUCGGUCUCAGUUCGGAUCGGAGUCUGCAACCCGACUCCGUGAAGUUGGAUUCGCUAGUAAUCGCGCAUCAGCCAUGGCGCGGUGAAUACGUUCCCGGGCCUU